GACGAACGCUGGCGGCGCGCUUAACACAUGCAAGUCGAACGAUGAACCCGGAGCUUGCUCCGGCGGAUUAGUGGCGUACGGGUGAGUAACACGUGAGUAACCUGCCCUUGACUCUGGGAUAACUGCGGGAAACUGUAGCUAAUACCGGAUACGACCCUCGGCGGCAUCGCCAGGGGGUGGAAAGAAUUUCGGUCAAGGAUGGACUCGCGGCCUAUCAGCUAGUUGGUGAGGUAACGGCUCACCAAGGCGACGACGGGUAGCCGGCCUGAGAGGGUGACCGGCCACACUGGGACUGAGACACGGCCCAGACUCCUACGGGAGGCAGCAGUGGGGAAUAUUGCACAAUGGGCGCAAGCCUGAUGCAGCAACGCCGCGUGAGGGAUGACGGCCUUCGGGUUGUAAACCUCUUUUAGUAGGGAAGAAGCGAAAGUGACGGUACCUGCAGAAAAAGCACCGGCUAACUACGUGCCAGCCGCCGCAGUAA
rnacentral:rRNA from 1 species